CAGGGUACAGCCCCAGUCGGAAACUCCCAGCCUCGCGCCGGUAAACGGGGUUUUCCAGGGACCUGUCCCCCUGGGACUUAAAAGCGCGUCCCGUGGGAGGUUUGCUUUCACUUCUCCAGGGAGUUCGGAGCUGCAAGAGCCCAGCUACUCUUCGCUCCCCGGCGCCUGUGAGUAACGCAGCGCGACCAGGGGUACGGGAAAAGCGGGUUGGAUGCCGGGUUGACAGAGAACAGCGCUGGCUGGGGGAAGACCCGCAGACAGGCAGACAAAACAGAGAGGCACUGGCUACCCCUGAGACGUGACUGCAGGCUGCCACGGCUGAGCCGCGCGGAAGCCGCAGCGCUUCGUCUCUGGACAGAAAGCAGGAGUCGGGGACUGCUUCUCGCAGUGCGCCAGGAGCAGCAGCCCCAGGUGCAAGUGGCUAAAGGCCACCCUACUUAGGCGCGGCUGACGGCCGCCCGUGGGAAGCCAGUGCUCUUGGUAGGUCCAAAGUGCAAGGCCAAGCUGUUCCGGACGCGCUAGGGCGCUGGGGCCGGCAACGUGUCCCGAAGUCCCCGGCGUGCCGGACGCGCGUACCUGUGCGCCCGGGAGAGGCGCACUUACCAUGGAACAUGGUCUGCGGGAGGCGGGCGUAGUCAUGAUGACAGCAACAGCAGCAGGGGCAAGCUCUCACCGCCCAUAGUCUUUCCCAGGACCCUGGUCUUCUGAGGAGUUGCCGGGAGUCGGGGCCGGGCAGGGCCGGAUCUGCAGCGGGGUUCCUCUCACCCACGCCGCGCCUGCUGUUUCAUCCAUCCCGUGGGGGGCGGCACGUACCACGGUCCGGCUCUGAGCUUUGCCUUUUCCAUAACUUCCGUGGGAUAGGCCGGCAGCGUACUUUCAGUUUCUACUUUGCGCUUGUUCGGCAGGUUCGGUCUUCGGGUUCAUCAGGGGGGCGCCUUCACUCUCCCUUCUCUUUAGCACCUGCGUCUUCCCUUAGCGCUUCCUGUGACCUGGACCAGGAUAGAGGAGGGCGCGAAUUUGCAAAGCACCGCAGGAGAAAGGAGCUGACCCUUCUGAAUCGGAACGAUUCAGGGCAAAAGACUUUCCAGAUGACCUCUAGCCUUCUUGGCAAUGCUAGGCGACUGGGACAUAAAACCAUCUGUUGCUAACAUGUCCACGGAAGCCACAAAUACGCAGAGCCCAAGCUGCUCAAUUGCAAGCGGACGCCACGGAGGAGGUGGCGCAGCUCCUGCUGCGGAUAUGGUAGACGAAGCCAAGUCGUCUUGUAAAAAAGGGAAGUGAAGAAUGAUGAAGACGGUCACGCCCUCUGCCCCUCCAACCUCUCUAAUCAGCGUCUUUCCUUUCUGCCCUCUGGACAUGCACCUGCCCAGGUAUCUCCUCAAAGAAAAAUAAUCCUGUGGACUCACCUAAUGUGGACUGACUAAGAAACUGAGGUUGCCUAUGGGAAUCAUUGGAGGAGUCACCCAUGGGCUUUCGGAACUACAGCUCCAGUUGACAGUAUGGGACGCCUGUCUUAGCAAUGGAUUCUGCACUUCCUGUGAUGAUCCCACCCGCAUUUAUACACAGAAAUAAUGGGAAGAAAAACAAGAUUGCUUCUAUGAGAAGGCCAUUUGAUGUGAGAUGCCUUAGAGAGCUGUCUGGGCCCCACUUUUCUCAUCAAAAUGUUUAUGAUGAUCUUAUCUUGGAGAGCUGAUCUGAAAUGGAGUGAGGUAGCACACAUGAAAUGCUUAUCAGAGGAUCUAAUUGAUAACUGGUGCUCAAUAAACAUUCAUUGAUGAACAGAAACAACUGUUGAGGUCAUCAAGUGAACCACAUGAAGAUUCAAAAAGAAAAACAGACAACUAACAUAGAAAGAAAAUGAUUGAUUGUUAAAAGGCUCAGAUUUUUUUUUUGCUCUAUUGUUCAUAUGAUUGAAAUUCAAAUUUUCAAUCCAUAAUUUCAAAAGGGAUUUAUAUGAGAGAAUUUCUGAAAAAAUUAAUCUCUCCUGGGUUUUAUGAGCCAUUUCUUGACUUAAUCAAAAUAAACAUUGCCAAUAUUUAAAUAAAACAUUUCUACUUACUGGCAAAGCCUUGUAGAAAUACUCCUAAAGUUUACUUAGAUGAAUGUGAAACAAUGGAGAUACUUGUGUAUUUCUCUUUUCUUAUGCUAUUCAGUGGUGGAGAAAUAACCACUCAUGAUUUCCUUUGUGAGGAAGAUU